rnacentral:rRNA from 1 species
AGCGUUGCUCGGAAUUACUGGGCGUAAAGGGAGCGUAGGCGGAUAGUUUAGUCAGAGGUGAAAGCCCAGGGCUCAACCUUGGAAUUGCCUUUGAUACUGGCUAUCUUGAGUACGGAAGAGGUAUGUGGAACUCCGAGUGUAG